rnacentral:rRNA from 1 species
CCUACGGGUGGCAGCAGUGGGGAAUAUUGGGCAAUGGAGGCAACUCUGACCCAGCAACGCCGCGUGAAUGAUGAAGGUCUUCGGAGUGGAAAGUUCUUUUCGAAGGGAAGAAGAAAGUGACGGUACCGUAGGAGUAAGCGUCGGCUAACUCCGUGCCAGCAGCCGCGGUAAUACGUAGGAGGCAAGCGUUAUCCGGAAUGACUGGGCGUAAAGGGUGCGUAGGUGGUUUGACAAGUUGGUAGCGUAACUCCGGAGCUCAACUUCGGAACUACUACCCAAACUGUUGGUCUCGAGUGCAGGGGGGGCAACUGGAAUUUCUAGUGUAGCGGUGUAAUGCUUAGAUCUUAGGAAGACCCCC